AUUAUUUGAGGACGGAACAGGCAGCCGUCACGCUACCUAUGGUGGUCUUAAAAGAGAUGUGGGAGGGUCACCCCACCAAGUAAU
rnacentral:ncRNA from 21 species